UCAGUGAAAUGCAUAGUAUGUUAUUUCGUUGUUCAAAUGAGUCCGAGUUGGUUUGGGAAAUGCAGCUUCAAAAAUGGGGUGGUAAAUUUUCAUCUAAAGGCUAAAUAUUGGCGAGAGACCGAUAGCGAACAAGUACCGUGAGGGAAAGAUGAAAAGAACUUUGAAAAGAGAGUUAACCAGUACGUGAAAUUGUUGAAAGGGAAACGUUUGACACCAGUCAUGCGGGUGGGAAAUCAGUCUUUUAGUGUGGGGAGUGGUGGGGGUUCGGACCGCAAGGCUGGCCUUUAUCUCAUCUCUGCGCUAAUGGAUGCACUUUUUCAUUUGCAGGUCAACAUCAGUUUCUUCUGCUGGACAAAACUCUGAGAGAAGGUAGCAGCUUUGGCUGUGUUAUAGCUCUGGAGCGAUACAGUGGAGGGGACUGAGGCUUUCGCAGUGUGUGCUUUCGGGCAAGGUUGACUGGGUGCUAUGUGAUCGUUCGGUGUACAAUGCAUGCAUUUUGCGCUGUGUCUUUUGCAUACUCGCCUGAAUCGACUCUUCCACGCUUAGGAUGUUGACUUAAUGGUUUUAAACGACCCGUCUUGAAACACGGACCAAGGAGUCUAACAUAUAUGCAAGUGUUUGGGUGGCAAACCCAUACGCGUAAUGAAAGUGAACGUAGGUGCGAUCCGCAAGGUGCAGCAUCGACCGAUCUUGAUAUUUUUGGAUAGAUUUGAGUAAGAGCAUAUAUGCUGGGACCCGAAAGAUGGUGAACUAUGCCUGAAUAGGGUGAAGCCAGAGGAAACUCUGGUGGAGGCUCGUAGCGAUUCUGACGUGCAAAUCGAUCGUCAAAUUUGGGUAUAGGGGCGAAA
rnacentral:rRNA from 1 species